rnacentral:rRNA from 1 species
GACGAACGCUGGCGGCGUGCUUAACACAUGCAAGUCGAACGGAAAGGCCCUGCUUUUGUGGGGUGCUCGAGUGGCGAACGGGUGAGUAACACGUGAGUAACCUGCCCUUGACUUUGGGAUAACUUCAGGAAACUGGGGCUAAUACCGGAUAGGAGCUCCUGCUGCAUGGUGGGGGUUGGAAAGUUUCGGCGGUUGGGGAUGGACUCGCGGCUUAUCAGCUUGUUGGUGGGGUAGUGGCUUACCAAGGCUUUGACGGGUAGCCGGCCUGGGAGGGUGACCGGCCACAUUGGGCCUGAGAUACGGCCCAGACUCCUACGGGAGGCAGCAGUGGGGAAUCUUGCCCAAUGGGCGGGAGCCUGAUGCAGCAGCGCCGCGUGCGGGAUGACGGCCUUCGGGUUGUAAACCGCUUUCGCCUGUGACGAAGCGUGAGUGACGGUAAUGGGUAAAGAAGCACCGGCUAACUACGUG